GCAUAACGCGAAGAACCUUACCCACCUUCGACAUGUACGGAAUCCUUUAGAGAUAGAGGAGUGCUCGAAAGAGAGCCGUAACACAGGUGCUGCAUGGCUGUCGUCAGCUCGUGUCGUGAGAUGUUGGGUUAAGUCCCGCAACGAGCGCAACCCUUGCCAUUAGUUGCUACGAAAGGGCACUCUAAUGGGACUGCCGGUGACAAACCGGAGGAAGGUGGGGAUGACGUCAAGUCCUCAUGGCCCUUAUAGGUGGGGCUACACACGUCAUACAAUGGCUGGUACAAAGGGUUGCCAACCCGCGAGGGGGAGCUAAUCCCAUAAAGCCAGUCGUAGUCCGGAUCGCAGUCUGCAACUCGACUGCGUGAAGUCGGAAUCGCUAGUAAUCGUGGAUCAGAAUGUCACGGUGAAUACGUUCCCGGGUCUUGUACACACCG
rnacentral:rRNA from 1 species